rnacentral:rRNA from 1 species
AUACGUAGGGGGCAAGCGUUGUCCGGAAUGAUUGGGCGUAAAGGGCGCGUAGGCGGCCCGGUAAGUCUGGUGUGAAAGUCCUGUUUUUAAGAUGGGAAUUGCUUUGGAUACUGUCGGGCUUGAGUGCAGGAGAGGUAAGUGGAAUUCCCAGUGUAGCGGUGAAAUGCGUAGAGAUUGGGAGGAACACCAGUGGCGAAGGCGACUUACUGGACUGUAACUGACGCUGAGGCGCGAAAGUGUGGGGAGCAAACAGGAUUAGAUACCCUGGUAGUCCACACUGUAAACGAUGAAUGCUAGGUGUAGGGGGUAUCGACCCCUUCUGUGCCGCAGUCAACACAAUAAGCAUUCCGCCUGGGGAGUACGGCCGCAAGGUUGAAACUCAAAGGAAUUGACGGGG